rnacentral:rRNA from 1 species
UACAGAGGUCUCAAGCGUUGUUCGGAUUCAUUGGGCGUAAAGGGUGCGUAGGUGGCGCCGUAAGUCAGGCGUGAAAUUUCGGAGCUUAACUCCGAAACUGCAUUUGAUACUGCGGUGCUUGAGGACUGGAGAGGAGACUGGAAUUCACGGUGUAGCAGUGAAAUGCGUAGAUAUCGUGAGGAAGACCAGUGGCGAAGGCGGGUCUCUGGACAGUUCCUGACACUGAGGCACGAAGGCCAGGGGAGCAAACGGG